rnacentral:rRNA from 1 species
UACGGAGGGUGCAAGCGUUGUCCGGAAUCACUGGGCGUAAAGGGCGCGUAGGCGGCUCAUGAAGGCUGUGGUGAAAGUCCGGGGCUCAACCUCGGAUCGGCCGUGGCGACUCGUGGGCUGGAGCACUGUAGAGGCGGGUGGAAUUCCGGGUGUAGCGGUGGAAUGCGUAGAUAUCAGGAGGAACACCGAUGGCGAAGGCAGAUCUCUGGGCCGUAACUGACGCUGAGGAGCGAAAGCGUGGGGAGCGAACAGG